UGGGUCCCAAGUAUACAUCUACAUUGAUGGC
rnacentral:piRNA from 1 species